rnacentral:rRNA from 1 species
CCUACGGGAGGCAGCAGUCGAGACUCAUUCACAAUGGGGGAAACCCUGAUGGUGCGACGCCGCGUGGGGGAAUGAAGGUCUUCGGAUUGUAAACCCCUGUCAUGUGGGAGCAAAUUAAAAAGAUAGUACCCCAAGAGGAAGAGACGGCUAACUCUGUGCCAGCAGCCGCGGUAAUACAGAGGUCUCAAGCGUUGUUCGGAAUCACUGGGCGUAAAGCGUGCGUAGGCUGUUUAGUAAGUCGUGUGUGAAAGGCGCGGGCUCAACCCGCGGACGGCACAUGAUACUGCGAGACUAGAGUAAUGGAGGGGGAACCGGAAUGCUCGGUGUAGCAGUGAAAUGCGUAGAUAUCGAGAGGAACACUCGUGGCGAAGGCGGGUGCCUGGACAUUAACGGACGCUGAGGCACGAAGGCCAGGGGAGCGAAAGGGAUUAGAUACCCGGGUAGUC